rnacentral:rRNA from 1 species
AUUGAACGCUGGCGGCAGGCCUAACACAUGCAAGUCGAGCGGAUGAAGGGAGCUUGCUCCUGGCUUCAGCGGCGGACGGGUGAGUAAUGCCUAGGAAUCUGCCUGGUCGUGGGGGAUAACGUCCGGAAACGGGCGCUAAUACCGCAUACGUCCUGAGGGAGAAAGUGGGGGAUCUUCGGACCUCACGCUAUCAGAUGAGCCUAGGUCGGAUUAGCUAGUUGGUGGGGUAAAGGCCUACCAAGGCGACGAUCCGUAACUGGUCUGAGAGGAUGAUCAGUCACACUGGGACUGAGACACGGUCCAGACUCCUACGGGAGGCAGCAGUGGGGAAUAUUGGACAAUGGGCGAAAGCCUGAUCCAGCCAUGCCGCGUGUGUGAAGAAGGUCUUCGGAUUGUAAAGCACUUUAAGUUGGGAGGAAGGGCAGUAAGUUAAUACCUUGCUGUUUUGACGGUACCAACAGAAUAAGCACCGGCUAACUUCGUG